rnacentral:rRNA from 1 species
GACGAACGCUGGCGGCGUGCUUAACACAUGCAAGUCGAACGGAAAGGCCCCUUUGGGGGUACUCGAGUGGCGAACGGGUGAGUAACACGUGAGUAACCUGCCCUUGACUUCGGGAUAACUUCAGGAAACUGGGGCUAAUACCGGAUAGGAAUCCUUGCUGCAUGGUGGGGGUUGGAAAGCUUCGGCGGUUUUGGAUGGACUCGCGGCUUAUCAGCUUGUUGGUGGGGUAGUGGCUUACCAAGGCUUUGACGGGUAGCCGGCCUGAGAGGGCGACCGGCCACAUUGGGACUGAGAUACGGCCCAGACUCCUACGGGAGGCAGCAGUGGGGAAUAUUGCACAAUGAGCGGAAGCCUGAUGCAGCAACGCCGCGGGCGGGAUGACGGCCUUCGGGUUGGAAACCGCGUUCAGCAGGGGCGAAGCUUGUGGUGACGGUACCUGCAGAAGAAGCACCGGCUAACUACGUG